AGUGAACGCUGGCGGUAGGCCUAACACAUGCAAGUCGAACGGCAGCACAGUAAGAGCUUGCUCUUACGGGUGGCGAGUGGCGGACGGGUGAGGAAUACAUCGGAAUCUACUUUUUCGUGGGGGAUAACGUAGGGAAACUUACGCUAAUACCGCAUACGACCUACGGGUGAAAGCAGGGGAUCUUCGGACCUUGCGCGAUUGAAUGAGCCGAUGUCGGAUUAGCUAGUUGGCGGGGUAAAGGCCCACCAAGGCGACGAUCCGUAGCUGGUCUGAGAGGAUGAUCAGCCACACUGGAACUGGAACACGGUCCAGACUCCUACGGGAGGCAGCAGUGGGGAAUAUUGGACAAUGGGGGCAAGCCUGAUCCAGACAUACCGCGUGGGUGAAGAAGGCCUUCGGGUUGUAAAGACCUUUUGUUGGGAAAGAAAAGCAGCAGGUUAAUACCCCGCUGUUCUGACGGUACCCAGAGAAUAAGCACCGGCUAACUUCGUG
rnacentral:rRNA from 1 species